rnacentral:rRNA from 1 species
GCUUGACUGCGAGCGUGACGGCGCGAGCAGGUGCGAAAGCAGGUCAUAGUGAUCCGGUGGUUCUGAAUGGAAGGGCCAUCGCUCAACGGAUAAAAGGUACUCCGGGGAUAACAGGCUGAUACCGCCCAAGAGUUCAUAUCGACGGCGGUGUUUGGCACCUCGAUGUCGGCUCAUCACAUCCUGGGGCUGAAGUAGGUCCCAAGGGUAUGGCUGUUCGCCAUUUAAAGUGGUACGCGAGCUGGGUUUAGAACGUCGUGAGACAGUUCGGUCCCUAUCUGCCGUGGGCGCUGGAGAACUGAGGGGGGCUGCUCCUAGUACGAGAGGACCGGAGUGGACGCAUCACUGGUGUUCGGGUUGUCAUGCCAAUGGCACUGCCCGGUAGCUAAAUGCGGAAGAGAUAAGUGCUGAAAGCAUCUAAGCACGAAACUUGCCCCG